rnacentral:rRNA from 1 species
UACAGAGGGGGCAAGCGUUGUUCGGAAUUACUGGGCGUAAAGGGCGCGUAGGCGGCCUUCUAAGUCGAACGUGAAAUCCCCGGGCUCAACCCGGGAACUGCGUCCGAGACUGGAAGGCUUGAAUCCGGGAGAGGGAUGUGGAAUUCCAGGUGUAGCGGUGAAAUGCGUAGAUAUCUGGAGGAACACCGGUGGCGAAGGCGGCAUCCUGGACCGACACUGACACUGAGGAGCGAAAGCCAGGGGAGCAAACGGG